UUUAAGCGAAGGAGAAACAGGAAGGGUCUCUCUUUUCCCCUCUGCUCCUGCUCCAGUGGCACAAUGUGAUCCCCGGCAAGGAGGGACGCCAAUAAGGCAUCUGAUAAGUUAGAGUGAUGCCAUUCCUGGACAGGUAGGCAUGGGCUAUAUAAGAAAGCAAGCUAAAUAAGAUGGGGAUGGGAGGGAGAAGUAAGCAGCAUUAUUUGUCUAUGCUCUCUGCUUCAUUUCCUGCCCCCAGGUCCUUGCCUUGAAUUCUGUCAUCAAGGACUGUAACCUGUACGCCAGCAGGCAGAAGACACCGUACGUUCUACUCCAGUAAAGGACUGCUUAUUUCUGAAAUGGAUGCUCCCUCUCCAGAGAGCUGGAUCUUUCUCAGAUUUAAAGUUCUGAAGCUGCUGUCUAGGAUAAAAGUUCUCAGCAAAGUGCCUGUGAUUUUUUCUAAGGAUUCCUAAGCUGUAAUAUCUGAAGAGCAAAGAAGAAUGGAAUGUCAAAGGAAGUUGGGGUGUGUUGCCAAAAAACAAAACAAACAAUUGUCAGAUAUAUGUUGCUGUGGCAAUACUUUUAUAUCUGUGUUCUUUUCUCCUACUUAUUUUAUCGGUUAGAAACUUCCUUGCUCAUCACUCAAGACUCCGUUAAUCUCCACCCUAUGACUGAUGUUGAUCUUGACAUCCCACUACUAAAAAAACUAUAUUACAC
rnacentral:lncRNA from 1 species